UGUUGCAUGGCUGUCGUCAGCUCGUGUCGUGAGAUGUUGGGUUAAGUCCCGCAACGAGCGCAACCCUCAUCAUUAGUUACCAUCAGGUAAUGAUGGGCACUUUAAGGAAACUGCCAGUGAUAAAAUGGAGGAAGGUGGGGAUGACGUCAAGUCAUCAUGGCCCUUUCGGAGUGGGGUACACACGUGCUACAA
rnacentral:rRNA from 1 species